UACGGAGGGUGCAAGCGUUAAUCGGAAUUACUGGGCGUAAAGCGUGCGCAGGCGGUUUGUUAAGUCCGUUGUGAAAGCCCCGAGCUCAACUUGGGAAUUGCAGUGGAUACUGGCAGGCUGGAGUACGGUAGAGGAAGGUGGAAUUCCCGGUGUAGAGGUGAAAUUCGUAGAUAUCAGGAGGAACACCAGUGGCGAAGGCGGCUUCCUGGACACCAACUGACGCUGAGACGCGAAAGCGUGGGGAGCAAACAGG
rnacentral:rRNA from 1 species